CGCAGUAAUGCGUUCAGCUAACCGAUACUAAUUGCCCGUAAGGCUUGAUCCUAUAACA
rnacentral:rRNA from 1 species